GAAGAAAACGGGAAGGGACGGACAAACACAAACUUCCAACUUGGAAGUUUGUGUUUGUCCGUCCCUUCCCGUUUUCUUC
rnacentral:pre_miRNA from 1 species